GGGGCAGGUUCGAAUCCUGCAGGUGUCGC
rnacentral:misc_RNA from 1 species